rnacentral:rRNA from 1 species
GUAGUCUCGCACAGAUGCAUAUCAAUAAGCGGAGGAAAAGAAACUAACAAGGAUUCCCUUAGUAACGGCGAGUGAAGCGGGAAGAGCUCAAAUUUGAAAUCUUCAAGGUUUUACCUUGACGAAUUGUAGUUUAAAGAAGUGUUUUCUGUUGAAGUUUUGGUAAAAGUUCUUUGGAAUAGGACAUCAUAGAGGGUGAGAAUCCCGUAUUUGACCAUUAUUUUCAGCUGUGUGAUACACUUUCAAAGAGUCGGAUUGUUUGGGAAUGCAGUCCAAAAUGGGUGGUAAAUUUCAUCUAAAGCUAAAUAUUGGCGAGAGACCGAUAGCGAACAAGUACCGUGAGGGAAAGAUGAAAAGAACUUUGAAAAGAGAGUUAAACAGUACGUGAAAUUGUCAAAAGGGAAGCGUUUGACACCAGUGUUGUUUUCUCGAAAAUCAAUUAAAAAGAGUUAGAUUUUGUUGUGUAUUGACCUUAACAGCUUGCAUUUCAAUUUUCUUGCUUUUUUUAAUGCACUUUUCGUUUAACAAGUCAACAUCAGUUUCUUUUUGUUGUAAAAAGGUCAUUGGAAGGUGGCUUUCUUUUCGGAGAAAGUGUUUAUAGCCUUUGACUCCUGCAAUCGGAGAGACUGAGGUCUGCAGCGUAGAUCCUUCGGGGUUAGAUACAUUUGUGCUAAGUUAUAGCUUUUUAUAGACAACUUGUUGACUAUGAUUAGUCUUGUAGCUUACUCGCUUAUGCUAUUUUACCUACGCUUAGGAUGUUGAGCGCAUGUCUCUCUCU